ACGGAGGUUGCAAGCGUUGUUCGGAAUUACUGGGCGUAAAGGGAGCGCAGGCGGCUCUAUAAGUCUGGAGUGAAAUCCCGGGGCUUAACCUCGGAAGUGCUUUGGAUACUGUAGGGCUUGAGUGUGCGAGAGGAAAGCGGAAUUCCAGGUGUAGCGGUGAAAUGCGUAGAUAUCUGGAGGAACACCGGUGGCGAAAGCGGCUUUCUGGCGCAUAACUGACGCUAAGGCUCGAAAGCGUGGGGAGCAAACGG
rnacentral:rRNA from 1 species